rnacentral:rRNA from 1 species
UGCCAGCCGCCGCGGUAAUACGGAGGGGGUUAGCGUUGUUCGGAAUUACUGGGCGUAAAGCGCACGUAGGCGGACUAUUAAGUCAGGGGUGAAAUCCCGGGGCUCAACCCCGGAACUGCCUUUGAUACUGGUAGUCUAGAGUUCGAGAGAGGUGAGUGGAAUUCCGAGUGUAGAGGUGAAAUUCGUAGAUAUUCGGAGGAACACCAGAGGCGAAGGCGACUCACUGGACCGGUACUGACGCUAAGGUGCGAAAGCGUGGGGAGCAAACAGGAUUAGAUA